GGAGGCCAUGAAGAGAAGAACACUCUCUCAAGUUCUUUCUCUCACUUGAUCUUCAAACCACCAUAACUUUUGAUCUAGAGCUCCGAUUGCCGCACCGUUUGCGGCCACGCAUUCACCGCGGAGAGCUCUACAAAAACCAUACAAUCAAUCUUGAGGACCCAACUCUCUUGAAGAAGAAGGUUAAUCUUGUCUUCUUGGACUUUGGGUAUGAUGCAGGACGUGAGGUUUCUCGCUGAGGCCUGCUGGAGACUUCUGGAUUUGCGAAGAUCCUUUGUUCUCGGGACUAUGUUUUGGUUUAUAUGUUUUGCUUAGAUACUUUUAUCUCCAUUAAAUAAUACAAACUGAGAUGACUCCUCUUAUGGGAGAUUUUGGAGAAUAGGUUUUAUGUAUUUGUGUCCCUUUGGGUUUUCUUUAGGGUUUUCCUUAUUUUAUCAUAUGUAUAUAUUGCUAUGCUCGGACCGGUUAUCUUCGCAGCCGGAUUUUGAGUCUUGAUAUUCCUAUUUUUGACACUCCUUUGUAUAUAUAUA